UACGAAGGGAGCUAGCGUUGUUCGGAAUCACUGGGCGUAAAGCGCACGUAGGCGGAUGUGUCAGUCAGGGGUGAAAUCCCGGAGCUCAACUUCGGAACUGCCUCUGAUACAGCACGUCUUGAGUCCGAUAGAGGUGGGUGGAAUUCCUAGUGUAGAGGUGAAAUUCGUAGAUAUUAGGAAGAACACCGGUGGCGAAGGCGGCCCACUGGAUCGGUACUGACGCUGAGGUGCGAAAGCAUGGGGAGCAAACAGG
rnacentral:rRNA from 1 species